CCUACGGGAGGCAGCAGUAGGGAAUUUUCGGCAAUGGGGGGAACCCUGACCGAGCAACGCCGCGUGAACGAAGAAGUUCUUCGUAAUGUAAAGUUCUUUUUACAGGGAAGAAAGAGAAUUUUUACGGUACCUGAAGAAUAAGCUCCGGCUAACUACGUUCCAGCAGCCGCGUUAAUACGUAGGGAGCGAGCGUUAUCCGGAUUUAUUGGGCGAAAAGGGUGCGGAGAUGGCGUAGUAAGUCUUUUGUAAAAAUGCGGGGCGCAACCCAGUAGGGCAAAAGAUACUGGAAAGCUAGAGUAGGAGAGAGGUAAGUGGAACUACAGGUGUAGCGGUAAAAUGCGUAAAUAUAUGGAAGAACACCAGUGGCGAAGGCGGCUUGCUGGGUCGAUACUGACGUUGAGGCACGAAAGCGUGGGGAGCGAACAGGAUUAGAUACCCUUGUAGUC
rnacentral:rRNA from 1 species